CAAGUCGAACGAGAAAGUGGAGCAAUCCAUAAGUAAAGUGGCGUACGGGUGAGUAACACGUGGAUCAUCUGCCCUUUUGUGGGGAAUACCGCUGGGAAACCGGCGACAAUACCGCAUAAGCCCGAGAGGGGAAAGCAGCAAUGCGCAGAAGGAGGAGUCCGCGGUCGAUUAGUUAGUUGGCGGGGUAAAGGCCCACCAAGACUGUGAUCGAUAGCCGGCCUGAGAGGGCACACGGCCACACUGGCACUGAAACACGGGCCAGACUCCUACGGGAGGCAGCAGUGGGGAAUCUUGCACAAUGGGGGAAACCCUGAUGCAGCGACGCCGCGUGAGCGAUGAAGCCCCUCGGGGUGUAAAGCUCUUUCGGCAGGGAAGAUUAUGACGGUACCUGCAAAAGCAGCUGCGGCUAACUACGUGCCAGCAGCCGCGGUAAUACGUAGGCAGCAAGCGUUGUUCGGAGUUACUGGGCGUAAAGGGUGCGUAGGCGGCUUUUUAAGUUUGGUGUGAAAUCUCCCGGCUCAACUGGGAGGGUGCGCCGAAUACUGAGAGGCUAGAGUGUGGGAGAGGAAAGUGGAAUUCCUGGUGUAGCGGUGAAAUGCGUAGAUAUCAGGAGGAACACCGGUGGUGUAAACGGCUUUCUGGACCAUAACUGACGCUGAGGCACGAAAGCGUGGGUAGCAAACAGGAUUAGAUACCCUGGUAGUCCACGCCCUAAACGAUGCAUAUUUGGUGUGGGCCAUUCAUUUGGUCUGUGCCGGAGCUAACGCGUUAAAUAUGCCGCCUGGGGAGUACAGUCGCAAGGCUGAAACUCAAAGGAAUUGACGGGGGCCCGCACAAGCGGUGGAGCAUGUGGUUUAAUUC
rnacentral:rRNA from 1 species